AUUUGCACGCCAUUGUGCUUGCCACUAGCAGUCAUCAGUUCUCUUCAAUGACCACUGACAAGCAAAGAAAACAGUCUAGACCCUCCUAAAACUGAGAUGGCUGCACCUGAUUGGACAAACGCUUUACUUGUGGGCUGUCUGCUCCCGGAUAUUAAAACAGACCAACAUGGCAGCUUGUUUGGCUAUUUUCCAUUAUUUUACAAAAAUAUUUCACCGAAAUGUGUUUCUGAAAACAUUUUAUACAAGAA